rnacentral:rRNA from 1 species
UACGGAGGGUGCGAGCGUUGUCCGGAAUCACUGGGCGUAAAGGGCGUGCAGGCGGUUUGUUAAGUGCAGAGUGAAAGCUCCCGGCUCAACUGGGAGAGGUCUUUGCAUACUGGCAAACUCGAGGGAGGCAGAGGAAAGUGGAAUUCCCGGUGUAGUGGUGAUAUGCGUAGAUAUCGGGAGGAACACCUGUGGCGAAGGCGGCUUUCUGGGCCUUACCUGACGCUGAGACGCGAAAGCGUGGGGAGCGAACCGG